AUGUACCUACGUACACCCCGGUUCCUCCGCGCCGUCCGCACCCACCUGACGGCUGCUCGCUACGUUUUGUUAGCC
rnacentral:sRNA from 1 species